rfam:Nitrospirae bacterium RIFCSPHIGHO2_02_FTLL_42_12 rifcsphigho2_02_scaffold_17362, whole genome shotgun sequence.
GGAGAGGUACCCAAGUCCGGUUGAAGGGGCGUGCCUGGAGAGCACGUGUACUGGCAACGGUACCGUGGGUUCGAAUCCCACCCUCUCCG